rnacentral:rRNA from 1 species
CCUACGGGAGACAGCAGUGGGGAAUAUUGGACAAUGGGCGCAAGCCUGACCCAGCAACGCCGCGUGAAGGAAGAAGGCUUUCGGGUUGUAAACUUCUUUUGUCAGGGAAGAGUAGAAGACGGUACCUGACGAAUAAGCCACGGCUAACUACGUGCCAGCAGCCGCGGGAAUACGUAGGUGGCAAGCGUUGUCCGGAUGUACUGGGUGUAAAGGGCGUGUACCCGGGUUGACAAGUCAGAUGUGAAAUCCUGCGGCUUAACCGCAGAACUGCAUUUGAAACUGUUGAUCUUGAGUACUGGUGAGGCAGACGGAAUUCCGAGUGUAGCGGUGAAAUGCGUAGAUAUUAGGAGGAACACCAGUGGCGAAGGCGGUCUGCUGGACAGCUACUGACGGUGAGGCGCGAAAGCGUGGGGAGCAAACAGGAUUAGAUACCCGAGUAGUC